rnacentral:tRNA from 1 species
GGUGCGGUAGUGUAAUGGUAACAUUCUUAAACCGUAUUUAAGAGACCUGGGUUCGAUUCCUAGUCGUGCUC